AGAGUUUGAUUAUGGCUCANNACGAACGUUAGCGGCGCGCUUAACACAUGCAAGUCGCACGAGAAAGGGCUUCGGCCCCGGUAAAGUGGCGCANNNGGUGAGUAACACGUGGAUAACCUUCCCUCGGGCGGGGGACAACAUUCCGAAAGGAGUGCUAAUACCGCAUAAGACCACGUCCUCGAAAGAGGAUGAGGUAAAAGCCGGCCUCUAUACAUAAGCUGGCACCUGAGGAUGGGUCCACGGCCCAUCAGGCAGUUGGCAGGGUAAUGGCCUACCAAACCUAAGACGGGUAGCUGGUCUGAGAGGAUGAUCAGCCACACUGGAACUGAGACACGGUCCAGACUCCUACGGGAGGCAGCAGUGGGGAAUCUUGCGCAAUGGACGAAAGUCUGACGCAGCGACGCCGCGUGGGUGAUGAAGGCCUUCGGGUUGUAAAGCCCUGUGGGGCGGGACGAAUUAGUAGAAGCUAAUACCUUCUAUGAUGACGGUACCGCCUUAGCAAGCACCGGCUAACUCUGUGCCAGCAGCCGCGGUAAGACAGAGGGUGCAAACGUUGUUCGGAAUUACUGGGCGUAAAGCGUGUGUAGGCGGCCAUGAAAGUCGGAUGUGAAAGCCCCAGGCUUAACCUGGGAAGUGCACCCGAUACUACAUGGCUUGAGUAUCGGAGAGGUUGGUGGAAUUCU
rnacentral:rRNA from 1 species